UGCUCUGGAUUCUGGUUAUGUGGCCUGCAGCACCUAUAAGAACAAGCUCGUACAGUGUGCCUGCAUUCCAGCUUCUUAGACUCUACAUGCAACGAGAUCUUUGGUUUUGCCUUUGCUGGUAAGUAAACAGUGAUUGUAACUGAAGCAGUAUGAACCUGGCAUUGCGUAGCACAUUUGACGACUUACAUACAAUAGUUUGACCUUUUGUGAUAUGUUUCCAUUUACUGAUUGGCAAACACACAGGAUUUGUGACCUGUAGCAGCAAAGCCCCCACACAGGACCCCUCUGACUCUCCCUGAAAAUGUCCCUGAAGUUUAAUAGCCCA
ensembl:lncRNA